rnacentral:rRNA from 1 species
UGGGGAAUCUUGCACAAUGGGGGAAACCCUGAUGCAGCGACGCCGCGUGAACGAUGAAGCCCUUCGGGGUGUAAAGUUCUUUCGACGGGGACGAUAAUGACGGUACCCGGAGAAGAAGCUGCGGCUAACUACGUGCCAGCAGCCGCGGUAAUACGUAGGCAGCGAGCGUUGUUCGGAAUUACUGGGCGUAAAGAGUGCGUAGGUGGUUAGCUAAGUUUGGUGUGAAAUCUCCCGGCUCAACUGGGAGGGUGCGCCGAAAACUGGUUGACUAGAGUGUGGGAGAGGGAAGUGGAAUUCCUGGUGUAGCGGUGAAAUGCGUAGAUAUCAGGAGGAACACCUGCGGUGUAGACGGCUUCCUGGACCAUGACUGACACUGAGGCACGAAAGCGUGGGUAGCAAACA